UUCGCCUACGGGACGCAGCAGUGGGGGAUAUUGCACAAUGGGGGGAACCCUGAUGCAGCGACGCCGCGUGGGUGAAGGAGUGCUUCGGCAUGUAAAGCCCUAUCGGCAGGGAAGAAGCAAGACGGUACCUGACUAAGAAGCCCCGGCUAACUACGUGCCAGCAGCCGCGGUAAUACGUAUGGAGCAAGCGUUAUCCGGAUUUACUGGGUGUAAAGGGAGCGCAGACGGCAAGGCAAGUCUGAUGUGAAAGUCCGAGGCUCAACCUCGGGACUGCAUUGGAAACUGUCUGGCUAGAGUGCAGGAGG
rnacentral:rRNA from 1 species